GAUGAACGCUGGCGGCGUGCCUAAUACAUGCAAGUCGAGCGAACAGAUGAGGAGCUUGCUCCUCUGACGUUAGCGGCGGACGGGUGAGUAACACGUGGAUAACCUACCUAUAAGACUGGGAUAACUUCGGGAAACCGGAGCUAAUACCGGAUAAUAUAUUGAACCGCAUGGUUCAAUAGUGAAAGACGGUUUUGCUGUCACUUAUAGAUGGAUCCGCGCCGCAUUAGCUAGUUGGUAAGGUAACGGCUUACCAAGGCAACGAUGCGUAGCCGACCUGAGAGGGUGAUCGGCCACACUGGAACUGAGACACGGUCCAGACUCCUACGGGAGGAGGCAGUAGGGAAUCUUCCGCAAUGGGCGAAAGCCUGACGGAGCAACGCCGCGUGAGUGAUGAAGGUCUUCGGAUCGUAAAACUCUGUUAUUAGGGAAGAACAAAUGUGUAAGUAACUAUGCACGUCUUGACGGUACCUAAUCAGAAAGCCACGGCUAACUACGUG
rnacentral:rRNA from 1 species